AGUGGGGAAUAUUGCACAAUGGGCGCAAGCCUGAUGCAGCCAUGCCGCGUGUGUGAAGAAGGCCUUAGGGUUGUAAAGCACUUUCAGUCGUGAGGAAAGGUGUGUGCUUAAUACGUACAUACUGUGACGUUAGCGACAGAAGAAGGACCGGCUAACUCCGUGCCAGCAGCCGCGGUAAUACGGAGGGUCCGAGCGUUAAUCGGAAUUACUGGGCGUAAAGCGCGCGUAGGUGGAUUGGUCAGUCAGAUGUGAAAGCCCAGGGCUCAACCUUGGAACUGCAUCUGAUACUGCUAGUCUAGAAUACGGUAGAGGGUAGUGGAAUUUCCUGUGUAGCGGUGAAAUGCGUAGAUAUAGGAAGGAACACCAGUGGCGAAGGCGACUACCUGGACCGAUAUUGACACUGAGGUGCGAAAGCGUGGGGAGCAAACAGGAUUAGAUACCCUGGUAGUCCACGCCGUAAACGAUGUCUACUAGCCGUUGGAAGACUUGAUCUUUUAGUGGCGAAGCUAACGCGAUAAGUAGACCGCCUGGGGAGUACGGCCGCAAGGUUAAAACUCAAAUGAAUUGACGGGGGCCCGCACAAGCGGUGGAGCAUGUGGUUUAAUUCGACGCAACGCGAAGAACCUUACCAACUCUUGACAUCCAGAGAAGAGGCUAGAGAUAGCUUUGUGCCUUCGGGAACUCUGAGACAGGUGCUGCAUGGCUGUCGUCAGCUCGUGUUGUGAAAUGUUGGGUUAAGUCCCGUAACGAGCGCAACCCUUGUCCUUAUUUGCCAGCACGUAAUGGUGGGAACUCUAAGGAGACUGCCGGUGACAAACCGGAGGAAGGUGGGGACGACGUCAAGUCAUCAUGGCCCUUACGAGUUGGGCUACACACGUGCUACAAUGGCCGGUACAGAGGGCUGCAAACCUGCGAAGGUAAGCUAAUCUCACAAAACCGGUCGUAGUCCGGAUUGGAGUCUGCAACUCGACUCCAUGAAGUCGGAAUCGCUAGUAAUCGUGGAUCAGAAUGCCACGGUGAAUACGU
rnacentral:rRNA from 1 species